rnacentral:rRNA from 1 species
GACGAACGCUGGCGGCGUGCUUAACACAUGCAAGUCGAACGGAAAGGCCCUGCUUUUGUGGGGUGCUCGAGUGGCGAACGGGUGAGUAACACGUGAGUAACCUGCCCUUGACUUUGGGAUAACUUCAGGAAACUGGGGCUAAUACCGGAUAGGAGCUCCUGCUGCAUGGUGGGGGUUGGAAAGUUUCGGCGGUUGGGGAUGGACUCGCGGCUUAUCAGCUUGUUGGUGGGGUAGUGGCUUACCAAGGCUUUGACGGGUAGCCGGCCUGAGAGGGUGACCGGCCACAUUGGGACUGAGAUACGGCCCAGACUCCUACGGGGGGCAGCAGUGGGGAAUAUUGCACAAUGGGCGGAAGCCUGACGCAGCAACGCCGCGUGCGGGAUGACGGCCUUCGGGUUGUAAACCGCUUUCGCCUGUGACGAAGCGUGAGUGACGGUAAUGGGUAAAGAAGCACCGGCUAACUACGUG